rnacentral:rRNA from 1 species
GUGGGGAAUAUUGCACAAUGGGCGCAAGCCUGAUGCAGCCAUGCCGCGUGUAUGAAGAAGGCCUUCGGGUUGUAAAGUACUUUCAGCGAGGAGGAAGGCGUUAAGGUUAAUAACCUUAGUGAUUGACGUUACUCGCAGAAGAAGCACCGGCUAACUCCGUGCCAGCAGCCGCGGUAAUACGGAGGGUGCAAGCGUUAAUCGGAAUUACUGGGCGUAAAGCGCACGCAGGCGGUCUGUCAAGUCGGAUGUGAAAUCCCCGGGCUCAACCUGGGAACUGCAUUCGAAACUGGCAGGCUAGAGUCUUGUAGAGGGGGGUAGAAUUCCAGGUGUAGCGGUGAAAUGCGUAGAGAUCUGGAGGAAUACCGGUGGCGAAGGCGGCCCCCUGGACAAAGACUGACGCUCAGGUGCGAAAGCGUGGGGAGCAAACAGGAUUAGAUACCCUUGUAGUCC